AAUUUAGAUUACCAAUGAUAAAGCCGGGGCUACGGCUAAAGAAAGGUAGGAUGCAUACGCAGAAACAUUAGUGCUAAUAUGCUGCAGAAAAGCCAAGAUAAAUCAGUCCAGCUCUCAUACAUCACUAAGGGAGAAGCUGAUUGCAACUUGACCAUGUGCCUGAGUAGUCCCAUCAGUGAGAAGAGGAGAACAUGGAUUUAAAAAAAACUAGAAUGUACCCCUAGGGCUCCUGCCGUGGUGGACCUGGGAGAAGUGUCUGGUAAAUAUCGACAGUAUAUGGCAGGACUUCUGGCUCCUCCUUAUGGUGUUAUGGAAACGGGCUCUAACAAUGACAGGAUUCCUGACAAGGAGAACACACCUCUCAUUGAACCUCACGUUCCUCUUCGUCCUGCUAACACCAUUACCAAGGUCCCUUCAGAGAAGAUCCUCAGAGCUGGAAAAAUUUUACGAAAUGCCAUUCUCUCUCGAGCACCUCACAUGAUAAGAGAUAGAAAAUACCACCUAAAGACAUACAGACAAUGCUGUGUGGGAACUGAGCUGGUGGACUGGAUGAUGCAGCAGACACCAUGUGUUCACUCCCGGACUCAAGCUG
rnacentral:sRNA from 1 species